UACGUAGGGGGCAAGCGUUGUCCGGAUUUAUUGGGCGUAAAGAGCGUGUAGGCGGCCAGGUAGGUCUGCUGUGAAAACUCGAGGCUUAACCUCGAGCUGUCGGCGGAAACCAUCUGGCUAGAGUCCGGAAGAGGAGAAUGGAAUUCCCGGUGUGAGCGGUGAAAUGCGCAGAUAUCGGGAAGAACACCCGUGGCGAAGGCGGUUCUCUGGGACGGACUGACGCUGAGACGCGAAAGCGUGGGAGCGAACAGGAUUAGAAACCCGAG
rnacentral:rRNA from 1 species